CAAUCCAUAUGCAAAAUCUAUUCCUCCAUUGAUCAGGAGGGUUGGUUCAUUUGAUAUGGCUGGCUAAAAUGUUCUUUUACUCUCUCACCACUCCAGGUGUGUCCUUCCAAAAGGUGCAAAUUUCAAAGCAAAAUUCCUUUACAGAGAAGGAUUUUACUUUGGUCAAGAGUAUUCAAAUAUCUCUGAUCCUCCAAACAAACUCCCAGAAUUUCAUCUUUAUAGUUGAAGCAGUAGGAGUCU
rnacentral:sRNA from 1 species